GGUCAAUGAGGAUGUUUUUAAUGCUUGUUUCUCAAAAACAUUCACAGUGGCCGCCUGAAAGUUUUCGCCUUCGCCGGGCUUGAGAGCUUGUGCUGCGUUCAUCCGUCCUUGGGUGUCUGAGACC